UGAGGAAUAUUGGUCAAUGGACGAGAGUCUGAACCAGCCAAGUAGCGUGAAGGAUGACUGCCCUAUGGGUUGUAAACUUCUUUUAUACGGGAAUAAAGUGAGGUACGUGUGCCUUUUUGUAUGUACCGUAUGAAUAAGGAUCGGCUAACUCCGUGCCAGCAGCCGCGGUAAUACGGAGGAUCCGAGCGUUAUCCGGAUUUAUUGGGUUUAAAGGGAGCGUAGGCGGACGCUUAAGUCAGUUGUGAAAGUUUGCGGCUCAACCGUAAAAUUGCAAUUGAUACUGGCAGUCUUGAGUACAGUUGAGGUAGGCGGAAUUCGUGGUGUAGCGGUGAAAUGCUUAGAUAUCACGAAGAACUCCGAUUGCGAAGGCAGCUUACUAACCUGUAACUGACAUUGAUGCUCGAAAGUGUGGGUAUCAAACAGGAUUAGAUACCCUGGUAGUCCACACGGUAAACGAUGAAUACUCGCUGUAGGCGAUAUACAGUCUGCGGCCAAGCGAAAGCAUUAAGUAUUCCACCUGGGGAGUACGCCGGCAACGGUGAAACUCAAAGGAAUUGACGGGGGCCCGCACAAGCGGAGGAACAUGUGGUUUAAUUCGAUGAUACGCGAGGAACCUUACCCGGGCUUAAAUUGCAACCGAAUAUGGCGGAAACGCUAUAGCUAGCAAUAGCGGUUGUGAAGGUGCUGCAUGGUUGUCGUCAGCUCGUGCCGUGAGGUGUCGGCUUAAGUGCCAUAACGAGCGCAACCCUUGCCGAUAGUUACUAACAGGUUAUGCUGAGGACUCUGUCGGGACUGCCAUCGUAAGAUGUGAGGAAGGUGGGGAUGACGUCAAAUCAGCACGGCCCUUACGUCCGGGGCUACACACGUGUUACAAUGGGGGGUACAGAGGGCUGCUACCACGCAAGUGGAUGCCAAUCCCAAAAACCUCUCUCAGUUCGGAUUGAAGUCUGCAACCCGACUUCAUGAAGCUGGAUUCGCUAGUAAUCGCGCAUCAGCCACGGCGCGGUGAAUACGUUCCC
rnacentral:rRNA from 1 species